rfam:Oryza glaberrima chromosome 2 Oglab02_unplaced112_1, whole genome shotgun sequence.
CUUAAAUACAGUUGUGGGUUUCCGUGUCCUACGUUUGACCGUUCGUCUUAUGCGAAAUUUUUUUAUUAGUUGUAUUUUUAUUUGUUACUAGAUGAUAAAACAUUAAUAGUACUUUAUGCGUGAUUUAUUUUUUAAAAGAAAAUAAAUAAGAUGGAUGGUCAAACAUUGAGUACUAAAACACAUAAUUGCAAUUAAA